CGCCGGGAGGCACAUUGCCCGCUAAGGGCGGGACACGCGGGGCACACCGGGAGGAGCGGCGGGAGCGCUGAGGGCGGGAGAGCUCGGGCCGGUCCCGGGGCCGAUCCCGGUGCCGCUGUCGCCGGUCGCGAUGCUCCGUCGGAAGCCGACGCGGCUGGAGCUGAAGCUGGACGACAUCGAGGAGUUCGAGAGCGUGCGGAAGGAGCUGGAGGGCCGCAGGAAGCAGCGCGACGAGGCGGAGGCGGCGGCGGGCGGGGAGGAGGCGGCGGCGCUCGCGCUGGGCACGGAGCACAAGAGCCGCGAGCAGCUCAUCAAUGAGCGCAUCGGUUCCUCCUUCCACCUCUGUGUCACCUCAGCUGCCCUGGUUUGUCACCCUGGGAAUGGAGCCCCAGGGACUGUUGCUGCUUGGAUCAAAAGUCACCAAGUAUUUCCUUAUGGAUGAAAAGCCCAAAGGCAGAGUGUUUUUUUCAGCACAUCCCUGGAUUUACCCCCAUCAGUGCCUGGGCUCUGGAAGCUGGGAAGAGCCACAGCCUGGCCUGGAGCAGAGCUGCCUUUCCUGUCUGACACCACAUGGAAUGAGGGGGGAUUCUCUGCUGUCCUGGCAUUCCCAGCAGGGCCCAGUCUGAG